rnacentral:rRNA from 1 species
AACGAACGCUGGCGGCAUGCCUAACACAUGCAAGUCGAACGAGACCUUCGGGUCUAGUGGCGCACGGGUGCGUAACGCGUGUGAAUCUGCACUUGGGUUCGGGAUAACAGUUGGAAACAACUGCUAAAACCGGAUGAUGACUUCGGUCCAAAUAUUUAUCGCCCAGGGAGGAGCCCGCGUAGGAUUAGCUAGUUGGGGAUGUAAAAGCUCAUUAUGGCGACGAUCCUUAGCUGGUCUGAGAGGUUGAUCGGCCACACUGGAACUGAGACACUGCCCCGACUGCUACGGGAGGCAGCGGUGGGGAUUAUUGGACAAUCGCCGAAAGCCUGAUCCAGCAAUGCCGCGUGAGUGAUGAAGGCCUUAGGGUUGUAAAGCUCUUUUACCCGGGAUGAUAAUGACAGUACCGGGAGAAUAAGCCCCGGCUAACUCCGUGCCAGCAGCCGCCGUAA